rnacentral:lncRNA from 1 species
UUCUACUUAGACUAUAUAGACUAUACAUUGUAAUGCAAAUCAGCAGCAACCAAAGCAAAAAAUCUGUUAAAUAAAGAAAGAAGCAAAGCACAAUUCGGCAUGAAAAAGAUGAUCAAGUUUUGAAGCAGGUCAGCAUAUUCGGAUACAUGUGCUUAAUAUACAUGUGCAUAUUCGGAAGGAAAAAAAAUAUCUCUUAUUCCUUGUGAUGAUGAAGUGUAAUAUCUGUUAUUGAUCUAUAUCUAUAUCUCUGUUCUGAGCCAUCAAUUUCUAAUCAAGCAACACCAGACAAUUUGUUAUUGACUUCUAGAUAAGCGAGGACCUACCGGAGAGUGUGAAGAAGAUCUGAGAAAUACCUACUAUAAAGGUUAUUUUUGCUUGCAGUUUUGCCAGGUUUAACUUCCAAAAUCAUUUGAAAAAAAGUCUUUGGAGCAUUGGGGACCAAAACACAAAAAAAAGUGUCAAAGGGUUGGCUCAGCAACUGCUUACAAUCAUUCUUCUAAUUAACUCGUUGCUCAUGGCCACCUUCACUUGCAUUAUAUUUACAUAAGUGGUGUCAUCGACUCACCGUAUAACUGAGAUCUCAAUAAGCUGCAAUAAUAAAAUUGUUUGUUAGUCAUAUACCAGUUAUGCAUUGCCUAAUAAUUUAAAGAAAUGCACAAAGUGUUAAUGUAUUGCAUUUGUCAUUAUCAAAAUAAGCAGCUAAAUAUACCAAAAGAAUCGGCAAAAGGUGAUAACAUACCAAUCAAAAAAAAUAUCUCUUAUUCCUUGUGAUGAUGAAGUGUAAUAUCUGUUAUUGAUCUAUAUCUAUAUCUCUGUUCUGAGCCAUCAAUUUCUAAUCAAGCAACACCAGACAAUUUGUUAUUGACUUCUAGAUAAGCGAGGACCUACCGGAGAGUGUGAAGAAGAUCUGAGAAAUACCUACUAUAAAGGUUAUUUUUGCUUGCAGUUUUGCCAGGUUUAACUUCCAAAAUCAUUUGAAAAAAAGUCUUUGGAGCAUUGGGGACCAAAACACAAAAAAAAGUGUCAAAGGGUUGGCUCAGCAACUGCUUACAAUCAUUCUUCUAAUUAACUCGUU